AUCGCUUCUCGGCCUUUUGGCUAAGAUCAAGUGUAGUAUAGUUACUAUUAAUUUUAGUUUUCAAACGACCUAUC
ensembl:snRNA LOC120098410 U2 spliceosomal RNA